rfam:Clohesyomyces aquaticus strain CBS 115471 BCR34scaffold_25, whole genome shotgun sequence.
GCCCGCUUGGCUUAGUGGUACAGCGUCUCACUCGUAUUGUUUAUGUGAUGAGAAGAUCCUCGGUUCGAUUCCGAGAGUGGGCA